ACUUGGGCCCACAUUCCUGGAUGCCGCGAUUAUUACUCGGCAUCUGUACAGGGAACGUGGGUGCCUGGAACAUCUGGGCUGCCUUUGGACCAAAACGUCUGGGUCAUGUGCCCAGCCUCCCUUUUGUGACCUUCCCAAGGGGGCAGGCCAGGCCAAGAGUUUGUGGAGCUAUUGAAAUGGGAGUAAGGGAGGAGCAAGGCCAAAGGAGAGGAGGAAGAGUACGCAAACUGGCCUGUCCAUAAUAUAAAGUUUAACUGGACACUGGUCAGAUGGAGUUCUGAGAAGCACCAAUGAAGACAUCAGUCUGUGAAGACCCUCGUCCACGUCCAAUCCUUGCUAGAUGGUCUUAUCAGUGGUCCUCCUGAUGUCUCAGCCCUCUGAGGAAAGCAUCUGGACCUGGCCUGGCCGAGGGGCACUGCAUGAGGAGCUUUUUCAGGUCACAGGCUGUCUGGGCUUUCUCCGCCUGAGUGGAUGUGUUUGCAAAGUGGAUGAGUGACCUUUCAUUCCUGGACACCCAGAGGGCCAAUCAGUCUGUUCUUGCUCCACUGAGAAAACUGAAUAAAGUGCUUGCCACUUGAAAUGAGA
rnacentral:lncRNA from 1 species